rnacentral:rRNA from 1 species
UACGUAGGGUGCAAGCGUUGUCCGGAAUUAUUGGGCGUAAAGAGCUCGUAGGCGGUCUGUCGCGUCUGCUGUGAAAACUCAGGGCUUAACCCUGAGCUUGCAGUGGGUACGGGCAGACUAGAGUGCGGUAGGGGGAGACUGGAAUUCCUGGUGUAGCGGUGAAAUGCGCAGAUAUCAGGAAGAACACCAAUGGCGAAAGCAGCUCUCUGGGACGGUACUGACGCUGAGACGCGAAAGCGUGGGGAGCGAACAGG